rnacentral:rRNA from 1 species
GAUGAACGCUGGCGGCGUGCCUAAUACAUGCAAGUCGAGCGAACAGAUGAGGAGCUUGCUCCUCUGACGUUAGCGGCGGACGGGUGAGUAACACGUGGAUAACCUACCUAUAAGACUGGGAUAACUUCGGGAAACCGGAGCUAAUACCGGAUAAUAUAUUGAACCGCAUGGUUCAAUAGUGAAAGACGGUUUUGCUGUCACUUAUAGAUGGAUCCGCGCCGCAUUAGCUAGUUGGUAAGGUAACGGCUUACCAAGGCAACGAUGCGUAGCCGACCUGAGAGGGUGAUCGGCCACACUGGAACUGAGACACGGUCCAGACUCCUACGGGAGGCAGCAGUAGGGAAUCUUCCGCAAUGGGCGAAAGCCUGACGGAGCAACGCCGCGUGAGUGAUGAAGGUCUUCGGAUCGUAAAACUCUGUUAUUAGGGAAGAACAAAUGUGUAAGUAACUAUGCACGUCUUGACGGUACCUAAUCAGAAAGCCGCGGCUAACUACGUG